CAUUCUUGCACUUAGCCUCGUUUUGAAAAUGUGGGGUUUUCGGAAAUUGGUCCAGAUACUUCUUACUACCACUGCACCCAAUAUUGUCUUAGCUGACCCACUUGCAUCCUUUCGUGUUUAUGUGUGGAUAUGUCCAGCACGUACUAAUAAGAAGCCUACCCAAGCCAGGCUUCACAAAAAGGCUAACUCCGCGAAUCGUUCCAGAGCGAUGCCAUUAGAAGACACAUGCAACCAACCAUCUACACAAUUAAUGGCGCAGCUUUUGUCAAAUUUCUAGCCUUUACGAUAUCAUUUAUUAAUUGCUAUGGUUUGUAUUUUUAGAUGUAAUAAGAAAGUUAGAAAGAUUAAUGGAAAUAAAACCCGGUUGAUCUGAUAAAUUACUUUAUGAUUCGUAACAAUUACCAUGCAGUUCAUAUGCUAACAAAACCCAACCAAUCACUGAAAGGAUUGCUAAAUACGGGCCCUGUUAACUUUGAAGCUGACAGGUAGAAGUGACGUCGCCGGUGGGGUACGUGCAGACUAGAACAGUGAGCCAGGGAAAAACUUGACAAUGGUGAACGAUUUCAACAACAUAAAUAUGUUUGUAAGGCAGGAUUACUUGAAAAAAGUAUCCGUUUCAAAGAAAAAAAGCAGUCGAGGACAAAUAAAUAAAUAAAAAACGAUGGUUUUAGUUUUACCAAUUUGUUUUCCCUCAAAAGAAGACUGGAUACUAGAGAGCGUAUGAGGGUGGCUCGAUAAUCAACCGCUGGUCGGGAAAUGAGCCAACGAUUUGCGUUUUGGAAGAACUGGGGGAAUUAGUAAUAAACAAGUCAGACACUAUGCGGCUGUAACGUCUUUAUUGGCAAACUUUAUAUUUCUUUACGUACACGAAGUAAAAUGUUUCUGUCAAUAAAUACAACAAAAUUCUCAAAAAUUAUAAAGUAAAACAAUAAUAUAUUUUUUCUCACGUUCGCGUAGUAACAGCAUUUACAGCUUAUAUUUCCCUUCAAAAGAGAAAUUUGCACAUUCACUCGGUAGUUAAAAAUGAAAUAUAUUAUUAUCAUUUAAUAAUUGUUUAAAUUAAAAACGAGGUCACAAGAAGACCAAAAUAUUCUCUCGAAACAAAAAAUAAUAGGAAAAACAAGGAUUAUUUUUUUCGAAUCUUGGGAUCAAGAGGUAUUUUUUCAGACCAUAAGAUGCAGAGAAGAAAUAUUGGAAUUUUAUACCACCUGACAACUAUUCUGUUAUGAAAAGAUUGUCAUGAGUUCAGCACUAGAAUUGUCAACAAUUUUCUAACUAAAGAAUAUAAUUUUUUCCCUCUUUUGGUUUAGAGCCCAAAGUAGAGGAAAGCUACAAUACAGCUGAACUAAAAAAGAAAGUUAAGUAGCACUUGUGAACUUCUUUAUCAAGAAUUUGGCGGUCUUUAAAAGAGAUUUUAGGGUCGUUUUGGAGUAAAUGCAGUGGAAUGGUGUC